UGCAAACCGUAACCAGCAGGAAAUGGGCAGCCUCCAGAAAGAACAACCCUCAGCAUUGACACCACAGCCAGUUAACUAUUUAUCAGCAAGACAAGGGCUUAAAAAGUCACCUACAUGCAAAAUAUCUGAGCUGGAUUCAAAUGACAACUUGGAAGCAUUGAAUAUGCAUAGCAAAACAAUGCCUAAGCCCAUUCACUUCUACAGUGAUACAUAUAUGGACAGUGGGGAUGAAUCCAUGUUGAGGAGCAAGGUAAAAUCAAAACAGAGUUCUCCACCAU